rnacentral:rRNA from 1 species
CCUACGGGGGGCAGCAGUGAGGAAUAUUGGUCAAUGGCCGGAAGGCUGAACCAGCCAAGCCGCGUGAAGGACGAAGGUGCCAAGCAUUGUAAACUUCUUUUGUCAAGGGACAAAAUCAGGCACGAGAGGCUGAUCGAGGGUACUUGAAGAAAAAGCAUCGGCUAAUUCCGUGCCAGCAGCCGCGGUAAUACGGAGGAUGCGAGCGUUAUCCGGAUUUAUUGGGUUUAAAGGGUGCGUAGGCGGACUGUUAAGUCAGCGGUAAAAGCCCGGGGCUCAACCCCGGCGAGCCGUUGGAACUGGGUGUCUUGAGAUGGCGGGAGGUAUGCGGAAUGCGCAGUGUAGCGGUGAAAUGCUUAGAUAUUGCGCAGAACUCCGAUUGCGAAGGCAGCAUACCGGCGGCGUUCUGACGCUGAGGCACGAAGGCGUGGGUAUCGAACAGGAUUAGAUACCCCUGUAGUC